GUACCUGGGCUUUUCUGGCUCCAGACUUGAAAGACAGAGCUUUUCAGUCUCUUGCAAGUCCUAGUUAAAUAGGACCUCAGUGGCAGAUCAGGGCCAAGGAACCCCAGGCUGCUGUACCAGGCUCCUGGGGAUUGGGGUGAAGAGACAGCGGGGGGAGGGGAAUUUGCCAGCACUUGGAGACUGACAGUUUCAGGCCAAGGUAGGCAGCACUGAUGCCGACAGCACGGCCCUGCCUCCCGCCCACUCACUGGCCUCUACCUGCUUUCUGCCUCUACAGCCUCUGGGAUCAAGACAAGCCUGGGUGCAAAUCCUGACUCCCCCCACCUGCUCAGUGUGUAACCUUGGGCAAGUCAUCAUUUACCACUACGAAUUGGGUUUCUUUGUCGGGGAAAUGAAGAUGAUAAGAGAUUUUGUUGGAAGGAAAAUCAGAAGCAAUGGUGGCUUUAUCCUCGAUACUGUCCUGGGCAACAGUCUUUUUUAGUCAGAAACCUCAAUGAAGACGUAAGACAGUGGAAUGCAUGGAGGACAAAAAGAAACACAUAGGAAGACUCAGACCACCUCCCUGUGCUGGACACUGUCAUGUUUGGAAGUGCAGCAGCUAUCUUGUAACCAAGAAGAGAGUCAGACUGAUGGCCUUGUGACUCCUGAAGAAGACAGACAAGAAAAAUGGAAAGAACCUGAACCUUUGCUUAUGACACUGAGCCCCCAAAUUAAUCAAUCCUGGAAUCAUCCUACUUUGGACUUCUUAGAGUGUAGUAUAAUAAAGUACC